GGCAUAUCUGUCCGCCGUUCCCCAUUCUCAACGUGCACAUUCACUCCACCGCCCCCGCUACCCCUAUCCAGCUCGUCAGGCCGGCCCUCACCCACACCGCGCCCUGCAUCUGCCGCUGCGUCUGCCGCCCGUGCCACGCCCAACUACGCCUGCCGCCCGUGCCGCGCCCAGCUGCGUCUGCCGCCGGCGCCAAAUCUCUGCUAGCGGGAGCAGAAGGAUAGGAAGGAGAGAACCGCAUGCACUGACUUUCUUCCCCAUCGCCGGCGCUAGGUUUAGACGGCCCCUUCUCGUCGAAUCCGGCCGCGACGUAGUCCCCGAGGAGGCGCUCGAGCUCUAUCGGGCGACCCAGCGCAAGGCGGCGUCUGAGGCGGAUGCAGAGGUGUCGGAUUCGUCUCCACCGGAUCGGCGGCUGCGGCACCAGAUGCAGCGGAUCGGGCGCUUCUCUUUCACCGGCGAGCUGCCCGUCGGCCUGCGUAGGGGGAGGAGUCGAAGGAGCUGGUGUCGCGCUCAUUCUCGCGUUGGCCCGAUGUGAGAACUCCUCGCCUUGGCCCGAUGUGAGAACUCCUCGCCUUGGCCCAAUGUGAGAACUCCCGCUCCGCGCGCCGCUCGCAGCUGCAAAAGAACAUUGAAGGGAUGCUCGUGGAAGAUGAGGUCAAGAAGGUACGAGAAGAACGUUGAUGGGAUGCUCACGGAAGAUGAGGUCAAGAAGGUGGAUACGCCCAUGAUGCAUAGGAUGGCGAAAGAGGUGCAGGGAGCCGACGGCCUGUCCGCAGUGAGGAAGUGAUGGAGGAACAGCCACCCACUUGAGGGUGGGUACACGGUAGCAAGGGCGCCAACUGGGAAGGCGACGCUGCUGCCGGGCGGCGAGGUCGUCGUCCACCAAGGCGAUGAUGCUUCCGUGCGGCGAGGGGAUCCUCCUCAGUGAGGAGGUGAUGAGGAACAACCACGCACUUGAUGGGUGGGUACAGGGCGGCGAGGGCGCCGACCAGGAAGGGGACUCGGCUGCCGGGCGGCGAGGUCGUCGUCCACCAAGGCGACGAAGCUUCCGUGCGGCGAGGCGAUCAACCUGGGGAUCUGUUUCUAUUUUUAUGGGAUAUACGCAUGUUUUUUUUUCUUUGCAUGGCCUAUGUGAUGCGUGAUUGUAGGGGGUUUGGUCGAGUGCGUGUGGGGUCUCUAUUUUUCUCCGCGGUGGAGUACGGUCAGCGAAGUUAAAUCGGUAAGUGCACACCAGAAACGUAUCAGAUUACAAGGCUAGCCGUUGGAUUGUGAUUAGUGGGCCUGAUCAUGUGGUGGUAUUGGGUCUCUGUACGGUUUGCGGGGUGCGUUUAGUGAAGUUCUUGUUUGAUUGUUUAAUAGUAGUGAAGAUAAUUUGAUUGGA